AUUGAACGCUGGCGGCAGGCCUAACACAUGCAAGUCGAGCGGAGCGGCGGACGGGUGAGUAAUGCCUAGGAAUCUGCCUGGUGGUGGGGGAUAAAGUCAGGAAAGGGGAGCUAAUACCGCAUACUAUCAGAUGAGCCUAGGUCGGAUUUGCUAGUUGGUGGGGUAAAGGCCUACCAAGGCGACGAUCCGUAACUGGUCUGAGGGGAUGAUCAGUCACACUGGAACUGGGACACGGCCCAGACUCCUAGGGGGGGAAGCAGUGGGAAAUUUGGGACAAUGGGCGAACGCCUGAUCCAGCCAGGCCGCGUGUGUGAAGAAGGUCUUCGGUCUGUAAAGCACUUUAAGUUGGGAGGCGUUACCAACAGAAUAAGCACCGGCUAACUUCGGGCCAGCCGCCGCGUUAAUU
rnacentral:rRNA from 1 species